GAUGAACGCUAGCGGCAGGCUUAACACAUGCAAGUCGAGGGGUAAGUCAUUUCGGUGACUGAGACCGGCGCACGGGUGCGUAACGCGUAUGUAAUCUACCUUUUACAGGGGGAUAGCCCAGAGAAAUUUGGAUUAAUACCCUAUAGUAUUAUUGAAUGGCAUCAUUUAAUAAUUAAAGUUCCAAAGGUAAAAGAUAAGCAAGCGUCCCAUUAGCUAGAUGGUAAGGUAACGGCUUACCAGGGCGACGAUGGGUAGGGGUCCUGAGAGGGAGAUCCCCCACACUGGUACUGAGACACGGACCAGACUCCUACGGGAGGCAGCAGUGAGGAAUAUUGGUCAAUGGGCGCAAGCCUGAACCAGCCAUGCCGCGUGCAGGAUGACGGUCCUAUGGAUUGUAAACUGCUUUUGUACGGGAAGAAACACUCCUACGUGUAGGAACUUGACGGUACCGUAAGAAUAAGGAUCGGCUAACUCCGUGCCAGCCGCCGCAGUAACAC
rnacentral:rRNA from 1 species